rnacentral:rRNA from 1 species
CCUACGGGCGGCAGCAGUGGGGAAUAUUGCGCAAUGGGCGAAAGCCUGACGCAGCGACGCCGCGUGAGGGAUGAAGGUCUUCGGAUCGUAAACCUCUGUCAGCAGGGAAGUACGGUCACUGUGCUAAUCAGCAGUGAAUUGACGCUACCUGCAAAGGAAGCACCGGCUAACUCCGUGCCAGCCGCCGCGGUAAUACGGAGGGUGCGAGCGUUAAUCGGAAUUACUGGGCGUAAAGCGCUCGUAGGCGGUAUGUCAAGUCAAGGGUGAAAUGCCUGGGCUCAACGUGGGAACUGCCUUUGAAACUGGCAACCGGGAGUGUGUGAGAGGAUAGUGGAAUUCCAGGUGUAGGAGUGAAAUCCGUAGAUAUCAGGAGGAACAUCGGUGGCGAAGGCGACUAUCUGGCACAUAACUGACGCUGAGGAGCGAAAGCGUGGGUAGCAAACAGGAUUAGAUACCCCGGUAGUC